UAACCUGCCUGGUAGCGGGGGAUAACUAUUGGAAACGAUAGCUAAUACCGCAUAACAUUGACUAUUGCAUGAUAGUCAAUUGAAAGGUGCAAAUGCACCACUACCAGAUGGACCUGCGUUGUAUUAGCUAGUUGGUGGGGUGACGGCUCACCAAGGCGACGAUACAUAGCCGACCUGAGAGGGUGAUCGGCCACACUGGGACUGAGACACGGCCCAG
rnacentral:rRNA from 1 species